GCUGAUUGCACAUCCGCUCUGCGUGACAAUGAAGCAUCUCAUCUUGCAUACCGGGACCACCCAUUCCUGGCAGUGGAAGAACAGGCGGAGGUCCUGGACGCGGUGGCCCGACUGCGGCUGGACCACCUGCAUGUGAAGCUGGCAUAAAGUUUGAACCUAAUGCCUUUGUUAAAUAAUAUAUUGGAAGGUUGGGACAGCGAUAGUUCGAACUGAAAUGGAAAAUUUAUCACGACACCCUGAAAUCGCCGUCUCUGUAUUUCUUAGGAGACCUCUUCAC